rnacentral:lncRNA from 1 species
GUCACAGCCCUUCAGAGCCUCAAGCUGGGGUCCCUAGGGUUUCUGGACCUCAGAUCACUGUGAGGCAGGAGGUCCUCCACCCUCCCUCCGGCAACUCUGAAGUAUGGGAAGUGGGCUGAUGCGCUGGAACGUCGAUGCAGCCAGUGAUGUGUUUGAUGAGAAUGUAUUGAGAGUAAAGCUGCCCAGAAUCCAAGUGUGUGUCAUCUGAACUCUUGAAUCAUGGAUGGAAGAUGGUGAACCGAAACUUACAGAGCUCAAGUCACUUGACCAGGCUCCACCCCUACAAGAGGCAGCACGCAAACUAAAAACCAGGCGGCCUUUUCCAAAGCUUGUGCUCUGCUCCACUGCUGGAAGGAACCCUUCGGGGAAUUGAAGCAGCACUGAACAAAGGCCAUUUUUAAGAAGCGACACCAGAAACCUAAGGCGGGGUCCCCGGCUCAACAAGGAUCUCAUGUUUUGUGGGUCAGAGAUUCUUGUGUCGUGUCUGGGUGAGGUCAAAAACCAUGCAGAGACUUUCACUUCCUGUUCUGUGGCAGACAAGACAUCUGAAAAGCUCUCCUGCAGCAACACUUCUAGAUGCCAAGUAAAUCACAGCAAGUGCACUUUUAAAUGUGUUACUAAGAUCAUAAAAAUGAAGGAAAAUGCCCAAGCAUAUCCCCAACCCCUCACCCCACAACCACCACCACCACAAUAAACAAGUUGCUGACAGUGGAUUGGCAA